CCAGACUGGAACUGAGACACGGUCCAGACUCCUACGGGAGGCAGCAGUGAGGAAUAUUUCACAAUGAGCGAAAGCUUGAUGGAGCAAUGCCGCGUGCAGGAUGAAGGCCCUCGGGUUGUAAACUGCUUUUAUAAGAGAAGAUUAUGACGGUAACUUAUGAAUAAGGGACGGCUAACUACGUGCCAGCAGCCGCGGUCAUACGUAGGUCCCGAGCGUUAUCCGGAGUGACUGGGCGUAAAGAGUUGCGUAGGCGGUCAAGUUAGCGAGCGAUGAAAACUAUCGGCUCAACCGAUAGCUUGUUGUUCGAACUGCUUGACUCGAGAGUAUCAGAGGUCGCUGGAAUUCCUAGUGUAGCAGUGAAAUGCGUAGAUAUUAGGAAGAACACCGAUGGCGUAGGCAGGCGACUGGGAUAUUUCUGACGCUAAGGCACGAAAGCGUGGGUAGCGAACCGGAUUAGAUACCCGGGUAGUCCACGCCGUAAACGAUGGAUGCUAAUUGUUUGAGGUAUCGACCCCUCGAGUAAUAAAGCUAACGCGUUAAGCAUCCCGCCUGUGGAGUACGGCCGCAAGGCUAAAACAUAAAGGAAUUGACGGGGACCCGCACAAGCGGUGGAGGAUGUUCUUUAAUUCGACGUUAAGCGAAGAACCUUACCAGGGCUUGACAUCCCUAGAACUUUUUCGAAAGAAAAAGGUGCCUUCGGGAGCUAGGUGACAGAUCCUGCAUGGCCGUCGUCAGCUCGUGUCGUGAGAUGUUUGGUUAAGUCCAUCAACGAGCGCAACCCUUGUCGUCAGUUGUAUUUUUCUGGCGAGACUGCCCCGGUAACGGGGAGGAAGGAGGGGAUGAUGUCAGGUCAGUAUUGGUCUUACGCCCUGGGCUAGAAACGUCCUACAAUGGUCGGUACAAUGGGUAGCCAACCCGUGAGGGGGAGCAAAUCCCAUCAAAGCCGGUCUCAGUUCGGAUUGCAGGCUGAAACUCGCCUGCAUGAAGUCGGAAUCGCUAGUAAUCGCAGAUCAGCACGUUGCGGUGAAUACGUUCCCGGGUCUUGUACACACCGCCCGUCAAACCAUGAAAGUGACCAACACCCGAAGUCCGAUUCGUCGGCCUAAGGUGGGGGGCAUGAUUGGGGUUAAGUCGUAACAAGGUAUCCGUACCGGAAGGUGCGGAUG
rnacentral:rRNA from 1 species